GUAGGGAAUAUUGCGCAAUGGACGAAAGUCUGACGCAGCGACGCCGCGUGAGUGAUGAAGGCCUUCGGGUCGUAAAGCUCUGUUGAAUGGGAAGAAAAAAAUGACGGUACCAUUCGAGGAAGGACCGGCUAACUUCGUGCCAGCAGCCGCGGUAAUACGAGGGGUCCUAGCGUUGUUCGGAAUCAUUGGGCGUAAAGGGUGUGUAGGUGGCCAUGUAAGUCAGGUGUGAAAGCCCCGGGCUCAACCCGGGAAGUGCACUUGAUACUGCGUGGCUUGAGUACCGAAGAGGGUAGUGGAAUUCCAGGUGUAGUGGUGAAAUACGUAGAUAUCUGGGGGAACACCGGUGGCGAAGGCGGCUACCUGGUCGAGUACUGACACUGAGACACGAAAGCAUGGGGAUCAAACAGGAUUAGAAACCCGUGUAGUCC
rnacentral:rRNA from 1 species